rnacentral:pre_miRNA from 1 species
AUGAUACUCCCUCCGUCCCAAAAUAAGUGUCGCAAAUUUUGUACUAAGUUAGCACUAAAGCAGCGACACUUAUUUUGGGACGGAGGGAGUACAAA